UCCUCAUCGUAGUUGUAGGUGCUCAUCGCGGCCGGCUAUAUCUGUCGCACCACAUUCGGGCGCCGACUAAGACUCGUGUGUUUUUUUUAUAUUUAUUUUCAAUACUGUAAUUUAAGGCGAUAAGAAAAAAGAAGAUGGAAGAUAGAAGAAGCAGUAAUGCGACAUGCAUACAUACAUAUGCAGAAUGCAGGCUCCUCUUGCUGCUGUAGCUGCAAAGCUCAUCCAAAUUGCUGUGCUCAGAACAAAUAUCGUCGCUAUGUCCAUCCAUCCAAGUUAAUCGUUUUUGUCUUUUAUCAUUCUAAGCUUCUAUUUGUAUGUAUCAUACAUACAUACACACCUUGAAGGGGGUUACCAAUAGGGGCGACUCAAUUUCAAAUUUAUAUCAAUGAAACAAAUUUGUGUUGCUGAUAUGAAAAUAAAUGGUGAAAUGUAA